rnacentral:rRNA from 1 species
UACGAAGGGGGCUAGCGUUGUUCGGAAUUACUGGGCGUAAAGCGCUCGCAGGCGGCUAUCCAAGUCAGUGGUGAAAGCCCGGAGCUCAACUCCGGAACUGCCAUUGAAACUGUUUAGCUUGAGGAUGAGAGAGGUGAGUGGAAUUCCCAGUGUAGAGGUGAAAUUCGUAGAUAUUGGGAAGAGCACCGGUGGCGAAGGCGGCUCACUGGCUCAUUACUGACGCUCAGGCGCGAUAGCGUGGGGAUCAAACAGG